rnacentral:ribozyme from 10 species
CAGUCAUAGAAAAGAAAGACAUAGAGAGAAGAAAAAAGGAAAGAUUAGGAAAUGGCUUUCUUACCUUUGUUGACGUU